rnacentral:rRNA from 1 species
GGUGAACGCUGGCGGCGUGCCUAAUACAUGCAAGUCGAGCGAACAGACGAGGAGCUUGCUCCUCUGACGUUAGCGGCGGACGGGUGAGUAACACGUGGAUAACCUACCUAUAAGACUGGGAUAACUUCGGGAAACCGGAGCUAAUACCGGAUAAUAUAUUGAACCGCAUGUUCAAUAGUGAAAGACGGUUUUGCUGUCACUUAUAGAUGGAUCCGCGCCGCAUUAGCUAGUUGGUAAGGUAACGGCUUACCAAGGCAACGAUGCGUAGCCGACCUGAGAGGGUGAUCGGCCACACUGGAACUGAGACACGGUCCAGACUCCUACGGGAGGCAGCAGUAGGGAAUCUUCCGCAAUGGGCGAAAGCCUGACGGAGCAACGCCGCGUGAGUGAUGAAGGUCUUCGGAUCGUAAAACUCUGUUAUUAGGGAAGAACAAAUGUGUAAGUAACUAUGCACGUCUUGACGGUACCUAAUCAGAAAGCCACGGCUAACUACGUG